GCCCGAGUGGCGGAAUGGUAGACGCGGCGCACUCAAAAUGCGCUGUCCUUGCGGGCGUAGGGGUUCGACUCCCCUCUCGGGCACCGUCG
rnacentral:tRNA from 1 species